GAUGAACGCUGGCGGCGUGCCUAAUACAUGCAAGUCGAGCGAACAGAUGAGGAGCUUGCUCCUCUGACGUUAGCGGCGGACGGGUGAGUAACACGUGGAUAACCUACCUAUAAGACUGGGAUAACUUCGGGAAACCGGAGCUAAUACCGGAUAAUAUAUUGAACCGCAUGGUUCAAUAGUGAAAGAGGGUUUUGCUGUCACUUAUAGAUGGUUCCGCGCCGCAUUAGCUAGUUGGUAAGGUAACGGCUUACCAAGGCAACGAUGCGUAGCCGACCUGAGAGGGUGAUCAGCCACACUGGAACUGAGACACGGUCCAGACUCCUACGGGAGGCAGCAGUAGGGAAUCUUCCGCAAUGGGCGAAAGCUUGACGGAGCAACGCCGCGUGAGUGAUGAAGGUCUUCGGAUCGUAAAACUCUGUUAUUAGGGAAGAACAAAUGUGUAAGUAACUAUGCACGUCUUGACGGUACCUAAUCAGAAAGCCACGGCUAACUACGUG
rnacentral:rRNA from 1 species